rnacentral:rRNA from 1 species
AUUGAACGCUGGCGGCAGGCCUAACACAUGCAAGUCGAGCGGAUGACGGGAGCUUGCUCCUUGAUUAAGCGGCGGACGGGUGAGUAAUACCUAGGAAUCUGCCUGAUAGUGGGGGACAACGUUUCGAAAGGAACGCUAAUACCGCAUACGUCCUACGGGAGAAAGCAGGGGACCUUCGGGCCUUGCGCUAUCAGAUGAGCCUAGGUCGGAUUAGCUAGUUGGUGAGGUAAUGGCUCACCAAGGCGACGAUCCGUAACUGGUAUGAGAGGAUGAUCAGUCACACUGGAAAUGAGACACGGUCGAGACGCGUACGGGAGGCAGCAGUACGGGAUGAUGGACAAUGGGGGAAAGACUAGACCAGGCGUGGCGCGUGUGUGGAGAAGGUCUUCAGCUUGUAAAGCACAUUGAGAUGGGGGGAAGGGCAGUAAGCUAGGACCUUGCUGUUUUGACGUUACCGACAGAAUAAGCACCGGCUAACUCUGUGCCAGCCGCCGCGGUAAUAC